CAGUGGUUGUCGGGAACCUAGACCAUUACAUAAUCUGCUUUGUGUCGCUCUCUUGGGUCCCGAACCAAGAGAACAACACAGGCCAGAAAGGACGACAGGUGGUUGAAGAACCUAUUUGAUAUUAGUAGUUAAUUCCUGUAGAAAUACUCGACCUCUCGGCCGGUAGACACAGUCACAGAAACCGAAUCAGCCAUUCAUCGGGCUUGUAUACCGCAGAAACAGACUGAAACAGCCAUAGCUCUCAAAAUUUAAACUGACACAAACGUCAACAUUACUUGGGAUUUCAUUGAAGCACACUCAAUCGUUACUACACAUAAAUUCAUCCCACUGUUUCAUGAUAAAUCUAGAACGGAAAUUUUAAUCACAAUCCAAGUUAACUUUCUGUACUUUAACUUAUUAAUAAGUAUAAGGUAUAUUUUCUAUAUUUCUGAGCCAAAAUGAUUCAUUUUCGUUUUGUCUUUUCUACCGAGGAUCAUCGCACCGUAAGAAGAAAUGUCCGGACGUGGAAAGGGAGGCGAGGACUGACGAAGGAAGGUACCGGACGUGACCGAAUGGAGUCUUCCAACAUAUAUGACAAGAAACGCCUGCAAGCCGUACGAGAGGAAAGGAGCUGGGGAAUUGAUCUGUCAAUCGCCUGCCACUGAAAGUGCUUCGGGACAACAUCCAGUGCAUCACCGAGCCAAGGAGGCGUUCAGUCUUUCCGAGACAUAUGACAAGGACUUAUGUGUGGACAGCUAAGCUGUUAGGCAGCUGAUGCGUGCAUACGUCCUGGCCCUGAUUUUGAACCUGUUCGCAAGUAUUGGAGGGAGGAAGCAGACAAGCACACCGUUAACUGGGUUAACACAACUGUACAACAGGUCUGGAAUGAAACAUCUCUCAGCAGCUUCCAGUGUCUUAUCGGUGCCAACUGUAGCUGCAAGGCUCAUGCUUGGACUUAUCCUGGUGAGAGGCUGCCUGAUACCAUUUUCACGGUGACGUCCAGAGAGAUGCACUCAGACCUUCAGCUCGCUUCUGUGUUGUACAGGCCCGAUGUGUGACUGAUUUGGUUUCUGUGGCUGUGUCGAUGGCCCUGAUCGUAUUAAAACAGUUACUGUUAAUUCUGUUCUUUAUAAAACAGGAACGUUCCUGGUUGAUCAUUAUCUGUUUUCAUUUCUGUUUUAUUUCCAUCUGCCUUAACCUUAAGAACGUAAAAAUUUUCUAUGAUUCUUCAAGUACAAAGGCUCCAAGCUGCCACUAUACCAUGUACUGGCAAUGUCGAUAUUUACUGAUUCUAGGCUCUGUUGGCUACUAUGUCGUAGAGUAAGGAUAGAGAAUAGCUUUUAUUGAGUGGCUUUGAGAGUUGUACUGAACUUGUACAUAUUUGUUCACUUUGCAUUCAUCUAUUGCUUUUAAAUAAACAGUUUGAAAUCAGG